rnacentral:lncRNA from 1 species
AAAGAAGCUGUUGAAUGAGAUAUCUCUAAAAUGAGAGAUAAUAAUAUUAAGAAUUUUAUGAUCAUUUUUUUUAUAUUUGGCGUUACUUUUGAGGACUAUCUCCUAAAUCUUUCUACAGUACUUAAAUGAUGAAUGAAGAUAGAUUUAAUAUUAAUUUAGAAAGAAAUAUCAUGCUAUAGAUCAGGAAGAGAUUUUAUCAAAACAUAUCAUACCC